UCAGUACGGGCCAUGAGAGUGGUAGCCCGGAGAAGGGGACUGAGACAAGGCCCCCAGCCCUACGGGGUGCAGCAGUUACGAAACCUUUACAAUGCGCGCAAGCGUGAUAAGGGGAUCCCAAGUGCCAUAGUCUUACUAUGGCUGUGGAGAAGUGUAAAUUACUUUUCAAGAAAGGGGUGGGUAAUACCGGUGCCAGCAGCCGCGGUAACCCCGGAGCCCCAAGUGGUGACCGCUAUUAUUGGGCCUAAAGCGCUCGUAGCCGGACUAAUAAGUUCUCGGUGAAAUUGUUAGGCUUAACCUAACGAAUUGCCUUGAAUACUGCUAGUCUAGGGAUAGGUAGAGGUUGGGAGUAUGCCUGGGGGAGGGGUAAAAUCCUUUAAUCCUAGGUAGACUAUCAAUGGCGAAGGCACCCAACUAGAACUAAUCCGACGGUGAGGGACGAAAGUUAGGGUAGCAAACGGGAUUAGAUACCCCGGUAGUCCUAACUGUAAACGCUGCCCGCUGGGUGUCACGCAUUCCUAGAGUCUGCGUGGCGCCGUAGUGAAGACGUUAAGCGGGCCGCCUGGGGAGUACGGUCGCAAGGCUGAAACU
rnacentral:rRNA from 1 species